rnacentral:rRNA from 1 species
GACGAACGCUGGCGGCGUGCCUAAUACAUGCAAGUAGAACGCACAGUUUAUACCGUAGCUUGCUACACCAUAGACUGUGAGUUGCGAACGGGUGAGUAACGCGUAGGUAACCUGCCUGGUAGCGGGGGAUAACUAUUGGAAACGAUAGCUAAUACCGCAUAAUAUUGAUUAUUGCAUGCUAAUUGAUUGAAAGAUGCUAUUGCAUCACUACCAGAUGGACCUGCGUUGUAUUAGCUAGUAGGUGAGGUAACGGCUCACCUAGGCGACGAUACAUAGCCGACCUGAGAGGGUGAUCGGCCACACUGGGACUGAGACACGGCCCAGACUCCUACGGGAGGCAGCAGUAGGGAAUCUUCGGCAAUGGACGAAAGUCUGACCGAGCAACGCCGCGUGAGUGAAGAAGGUUUUCGGAUCGUAAAGCUCUGUUGUAAGAGAAGAACGGGUGUGAGAGUGGAAAGUUCACACUGUGACGGUAUCUUACCAGAAAGGGACGGCUAACUACGUG